AAGGAUUUAAGUUAAAAUAAACUAUUAACCUUCAAAGUUGAAAAUAAUAAAAUAAAUUAUAAGCCUUA
rnacentral:tRNA from 1 species